UCUCAGAAAGAUUAUCUCCUCCAUCCACACGUGUCUUUUCCUCAGAAUCUUCAGAGAUUAGAUGUUCUUCCCCUGAGAGGGUAGUAAUUGGAAUGUUUUCAGAAAGAUUAUCUUCCACCACAAAUAUCUUUUCCUCUCUGGAUUAUAUAGUUGUGUUGAUUUUUUCAUUCCUAAAAUCCCUGUUGUGCCCUGACUACUUGUCCGGCACAGGGCUUGGUUC
rnacentral:lncRNA from 1 species